rnacentral:rRNA from 1 species
CAGUCGCCGCGGUAAUCCGUAGGUGGCAAGCGUUGUCCGGAAUUAUUGGGCGUAAAGCGCGCGCAGGCGGAUAGGUCAGUCUGUCUUAAAAGUUCGGGGCUUAACCCCGUGAUGGGAUGGAAACUGCCAAUCUAGAGUAUCGGAGAGGAAAGUGGAAUUCCUAGUGUAGCGGUGAAACGCGUAGAUAUUAGGAAGAACACCAGUGGCGAAGGCGACUUUCUGGACGAAAACUGACGCUGAGGCGCGAAAGCCAGGGGAGCGAACGGGAUUAGAUACCCGAGUAGUCCCUGUCUCUUAUACC